GAUGAAGAACGCAGCGAAAUGCGAUAAGUAAUGCGAAUUGCAGAAUUCAGUGAGUCAUCGAAUCUUUGAACGCACAUUGCGCCCUGUGGUAUUCCGCAGGGCAUGCCUGUUCGAGCGUCAUUUCAACCCUCAAGCCCCGCUUGGUGUUGGGCCCCGCCCGCCGUGGCCGGCCCUAAAGACAGUGGCGGCGCCGCCUGGCCCUCAGCGUAGUACAGCUCUCGCUCCAGGGUCCGGCGGCCGCCUGCCGGAACCCCCCCAACUCUGUGGUUGACCUCGGAUCAGGUAGGGAUACCCGCUGAACUUAAGCAUAUCAAUAAGCGGAGGA
rnacentral:misc_RNA from 1 species